UGAGUUGGUAGAAAUGAGCAUGACACAAUUAAUGUGAUGUGUUUUUAUAAAAUUGACCUUGGUCUGAAAUAUGUUACAAUUUAAUAUUAUAUCUGGAGUAGAAUAGUUUCCAGUUAUCACGAAAUUCUUGAGCGGUGGUUACUAAAACGUAUAGUAAGAAUAUUUAAAGCGCCAUUGAUUGAUAUAUCGAUUAUCACAUAAGAUGAAUCUGCUACGUUCUUUUGUCAAUUUGCGACACAUUGCAAAUCUCGCAAAUUGUGCUAAUAAAAUCACAGUGAGAUGUGCUUCUCAAUAUUAUGAUAUAAACGACGAUCUGUUUGGUUUAAGUAAGGACCAGAAAGAGCUUCGCUCACUAGUUUUCAAUUUUGUGCAAAAGGAAUUGGCUCCUAAAGCUGCUGAAAUUGACAAGAAAAAUAAUUUUGAUAAAUUGAAAGAAUUUUGGCAAGAAUUAGGCAAAUUGGGCUUAUUAGGUAUUACAGCAAGUACAGAAUAUGGUGGCACAGGUGGCACAUAUUUUGAUCAUAUUAUUGUCAUGGAAGAAAUAAGCAGAGCAUCAGCAGCUAUUGGACUAAGUUAUGGUGCACAUUCAAAUCUAUGUUUGAACCAGAUCAGUAGAAACGGCACAGAGGAGCAAAAGCACAAAUACUUGCCCAAACUGUGUAGUGGCGAGCAUUUUGGUGCUUUGGCAAUGUCAGAGGCAGGAUCAGGUUCUGAUGUUGUCUCCAUGAAGCUAAAAGCUGAGAAAAAGGGCGACUAUUAUAUAUUGAGUGGAAAUAAAUUUUGGAUCACCAAUGGCCCAGACGCAGACACAUUAAUUGUCUAUGCAAAGACUAAUCCAAAUGGAAAACCGCAGCAUGGUAUCACCGCUUUCAUUAUAGAACGUGGUAUGGAAGGCUUCAGUACAGGACAAAAGCUAGACAAGGUGGGAAUGCGUGGUUCUAACACGUCGGAACUGAUCUUUGAAGACUGUAAAGUUCCAGCUGCGAACGUAUUGGGUGAAGUUAACAAGGGGGUUUAUGUACUCUUCAGCGGACUGGAUUACGAACGACUAAUAUUAGCUGCCGGACCUUUGGGAGUCUCGAUGUCCUGUUGCGAUGUAACUUUCGAAUAUGCUCACACGAGGAAGCAAUUCGAUCAAUAUCUUGCAAAAUUUCAAAUGAUACAGUCGAAAUUGGCCGAUAUGUAUACGCGUUUAUGUUCAGCCAAGAGUUAUCUUUACACUAUCGCGAGAUCUGCUGACGCCGGUGAGAGAAGCCGCAAGGAUUGCGCUUCGGUGCUCCUUUUUAAUACAGAGAACGCCGUGAAAACGGCAUUGGACGCCAUGCAAAUACUUGGUGGAAAUGGAUAUACCAACGACUACUCAGUGGGACGACUGCUACGAGACGCAAAGCUCUACGAUAUCGGCGCGGGAACUAACGAAGUACGACGUUUAGUCAUUGCCCGUGCAAUCACCGAAGAAUACUUAAAAUGAGACAUUUCGUCAACCUGCAUCUACUAAUUAUUAGACGACAAAUGUGAUCUUCCAAUGUGCAGCCCAAUUGUAUCGAACCAGUUCACAUAGGGGAUAAGUUCCUCGUCGUCUGUGAACAGCGACAGAACGAUCCUCACCAGGAAGAAGUUUGAAAAAAGCUGAGUGAACGGGUUUUUGCAGACUAAGGAUGGCUCUCAAAUUCUCUAUAGGCAACUUUUACGAGGCCUAUGUGAGUACAUUCGAACGAGGAGGAGUUGUCCCCCAAUAUCAUUCCUUUAUGUGACUUAUAGCCUGUUCAUCCGUUGAUUGGACCUACCAUCGUUUUUUAUUUCUACCGACAGUUUCUUUGACGAGUCCAGCAAAGAUUUUUCGCGCUUAUAAAACCGACUGGGAGAUUCGGCGACUGAAUAAUUCAACUCGGUUCAUGUUUAGUUUAGCAAUUAGUUUAUAUAGCAAAUUAGCAAAUAUAGUUAAUAGG